AACGCAUAUUGCACUUUCUGGUAUUCCGGAAAGUAUGCCUGUUUGAGGGUCAGUUAAAUAAAAAUCGGUGUUGUUGCUGCCUUUCGUGGUGACGCGUCGGAAUUGAGUCGUCUUACCUUCGGUUAAGUGACUUAAAAUUUUGUAUGAUUUUUGAACGUAUUUAAAUUUAUUUGUACGUUUGAGAUAUCGAAUGUUUAUUAGGUUCGGUCAUUCUAAUGACUCGCGCCUAUAGUUUUUCAUUAAAUGACCUCAAAUCAGGUAAGAAUACCCGCUGAACUUAA
rnacentral:misc_RNA from 1 species